GGUGGUGUGAUGUAGUGGUGAUGAGUUGGGCUCGUAAUCGAAAGGUUGCCGGUUUGAUUCCCCCACUGUCA